CGGAUAAGCCCUUACGGGGAAAGAUUUAUCGCCGAAAGAUCGGCCCGCGUCUGAUUAGCUAGUUGGUGAGGUAAUGGCUCACCAAGGCGACGAUCAGUAGCUGGUCUGAGAGGAUGAUCAGCCACAUUGGGACUGAGACACGGCCCAAACUCCUACGGGAGGCAGCAGUGGGGAAUAUUGGACAAUGGGCGCAAGCCUGAUCCAGCCAUGCCGCGUGAGUGAUGAAGGCCCUAGGGUUGUAAAGCUCUUUUGUGCGGGAAGAUAAUGACGGUACCGCAAGAAUAAGCCCCGGCUAACUUCUUGCC
rnacentral:rRNA from 1 species